rfam:Edhazardia aedis TSNM 41457 supercont1.152, whole genome shotgun sequence.
GGUCAGAUGGCCGAGCGGUCUAAGGCGCUAGCCUAAGGAGCUAGUCUAUUCGUAGGCGUGGGUUCGAACCCCACUCUGACCA